rnacentral:tRNA from 1 species
GAGUUUAUAGUUAAAUCGGUUAAAACGUACUGCUCAU